UGAAAAAGAAAAACAUUAUUUUUUAACUAGAAAAUCAGCGAAAGUUUUUUGUCCAUGAUGAGGCUAUUUUAUGAAUACCCACUGUUAAUAAUAAAAUUAUUGGUCUUGACAAAUUUCUUGAUUAUAUAAAGGCUGUUUCACACUUGGGCACUAGUGAUUGUCAUAGAUGUUUAUGGCAAAUACUCAUGUAAUUGAUGAUGGACACUGCUAGUAUUGCCAAUAGUUAAUAGACUUAUCAAAAUUAAAAAUGGAGUCAAACAAUGAGAAAUCUAUUAUUAGUUCUUCUAAAUAGAAAGAAGAUUAAAAUUACUAUAUUUUCUUCCCAAGCAUGUUGUUUUACCACUUUGUAGCUAUAUUCACUGCUUUUUGUUUCCAAAAUAGCAGAACAAUUUUCUAUUUUAUUUAUAAAUUCUUUGAUGUUAAAUUUAAAUUCAUGGCUCUAAUUAAAAGAAAACUAGCACUGUGUUUGAUUUUUAUGUUGAAUAAACAACUAAUUGAUUGCAUUUUGCUAAUUAGCAAAAUUGUAACAUAAUAUUUGUCAACAGUGUCCCAUUGUGAAUAUUUCUAUUAAAACAUAUGUAUUUCAUAUAGUAACUGAUCUAGAUACAGUGGUCUUAUUUGUCAUUGUGACUGAAAUGGAUGCUGCAGUACCCUAGUGUGAAUGCUGCAGUUCAAACCAGUGUAUCUGCAAGAUCAGUCAUCAAUAACCAUCACUAUGUUUCAGUGUUUCACAUUGAAACAUAGUAAUAGUUAUUGAUGAAUUUUGGAAUUGGAAUUUACGAAAUGUUAUGGAAUUGAUGAAUUUUCUUUUUUUUUUUUUUUCACAAUAGUUAUAUAUUGUAUAAGUAUGGCAAAAUAUUCACAUCAAGAAUAAUAUACAUAGACCCCUAUAUAAUAUGGAUUUGUAUAAUGCGACAAAAAAUUAUGGCAGUGCUCUUACAGUGCAUGUAUACUGUGUUAUACAAGCCUCAUAAAAUCUAAAUGACUUAUAUAAAAGCAGAUAAUAUAAACUAUAGUGAGUUGUUACUAGUUGUAAUCAUCAUUUGUGAGCGAAUGAAUUUAUCUGGGAAUUAUGAUGUAUUCAUGAUUUUGCAGACUGAUAGUACAAGGUGUCCCAGAAGUGAACAAACAAGGUGAAGUGAGGUGAUGGGAGGGGUCAUUGCCGGUCGGAAUAGCCA
rnacentral:lncRNA from 1 species